rnacentral:rRNA from 1 species
GGGGAAAUAUUUUCCGACAAUGGACGAAAGUCUGACUGCGAGCAACUGCCGCGUGAACGAUGAAGGCCUUCGGGUCGUAAAGUUCUGUUGUUAGGGAAGAACAAGUGCUUUUUAAAUAAGCGGGGACCUUGCGGUUCCCUAACCAAAAACCCCCGGUUACUUCCUUGCCACCACCCCUAUAAUUAUAUUAAA